GGUGGUUUAGCUCAGUGGUAGAGCACGUGUUUAGUAUGUAUGAAGUCCUCGGUUCAAUCCCCAGUACCUCUA
rnacentral:tRNA from 1 species